rnacentral:rRNA from 1 species
AUUGAACGCUGGCGGCAUGCCUAACACAUGCAAGUCGAGCGGACGAACGGGGCGCUCUCUUCUAUGCAGCUGCGGACGGGCGGGUAAUGCCCACGUAGCUGCCCUGCCUUUGAGGAUAACGUACGUACACGGGCGCUGAUAUCGCGCACGACAAGAGGUUGAAAGUGAGGGAUCAUAAGAGCACGAGCUACUAGCUGUGCCUUCGUCGGAUUCGCUAGUUGGUGGGGUAAAGGCUUACCAAGGCGACGAUCCGUAACAGGUCUGAGAGGGUGAUCAGCCACACUGGAACUGAGACACGGUCCAGACUCCUACGGGAGGCAGCAGUGGGGAAUCUUCGACAAUGGGCGAAAGCCUGAUGCAGCCAUGCCGCGUGUGUGAAGAAGGUCUUCGGAUUGUAAAGCUCUUUUAGUUGGGAGGAAGAGAAGUGAGUUAAACCGUGGAUGUUUUGACGUUACCUACAGAGUAAGCCCCGGCUAACUUCGUG